NNCUGGCGGCGGCGGCGCGAGCGCUCGGUGCAGACGCGAGCGGCGGCGCGAGCGGGAGGUGCAGGCGCGAGCGGCUGGAGGAGACGAGUGGAUAACGCGAUGCGAUGGGCACGGUAGGAAAAAGUCCCAAAAAGUCCCUCCCACAGGUACUUCUCCAAAUAGUCCCAAACACCCCACUUUAGUCCCUAAAAGUCCCUCCUGUUUGUUUCAUAUAGGACUUUUU
rnacentral:lncRNA from 1 species